rnacentral:rRNA from 1 species
UACGAAGGGGGCUAGCGUUGCUCGGAAUCACUGGGCGUAAAGGGUGCGUAGGCGGGUCUUAAGUCAGGGGUGAAAUCCUGGAGCUCAACUCCAGAACUGCCUUUGAUACUGAGGAUCUUGAGUUCGGGAGAGGUGAGUGGAAUUCCGAGUGUAGAGGUGAAAUUCGUAGAUAUUCGGAAGAACACCAGUGGCGAAGGCGGCUCACUGGAGCUGGUAUUGACGCUGAGGUGGCGAAAGCGUGGGGAGCAACAGG